GACGAACGCUGGCGGCGUGCUUAACACAUGCAAGUCGAGCGGUAAGGCCCUUUCGGGGGUACACGAGCGGCGAACGGGUGAGUAACACGUGGGUGACCUGCCUUUAGCUCUGGGAUAAGCCUGGGAAACUGGGUCUAAUACUGGAUAUGACUCCAUGACGCAUGUUGUGGGGUGGAAAGCCUUGUGCGGUUGAGGAUGGGCCCGCGGCCUAUCAGCUUGUUGGUGGGGUGAUGGCCUACCAAGGCGACGACGGGUAGCCGGCCUGAGAGGGCGACCGGCCACACUGGGACUGAGACACGGCCCAGACUCCUACGGGAGGCAGCAGUGGGGAAUCUUGCGCAAUGGGCGAAAGCCUGACGCAGCGACGCCGCGUGAGGGAUGACGGCCUGGUGUAA
rnacentral:rRNA from 1 species